rnacentral:rRNA from 1 species
AGUAACACGUAUCCAACCUGCCGAUGACUCGGGGAUAGCCUUUCGAAAGAAAGAUUAAUACCCGAUGGCAUAGUUCUUCCGCAUGGUAGAACUAUUAAAGAAUUUCGGUCAUCGAUGGGGAUGCGUUCCAUUAGGUUGUUGGCGGGUAACGGCCCACCAAGCCUUCGAUGGAUAGGGGUUCUGAGAGGAAGGUCCCCCACAUUGGAACUGAGACACGGUCCAAACUCCUACGGGAGGCAGCAUG